UGUUCUGCCAAGGGCAUAGCUGGGUAGCUAUGUGCGGAAGGGAUAAGUGCUGAAAGCAUCUAAGCAUGAAGCCCCCCUCAAGAUGAGAUUUCCCAUAGCGUAAGCUAGUAAGAUCCCUGAAAGAUGAUCAGGUUGAUAGGUUCGAGGUGGAAGCAUGGUGACAUGUGGAGCUGACGAAUACUAAUAGAUCGAGGACUUAACCAUAUAA
rnacentral:rRNA from 1 species